UUCAUGUACAUACACUUAAUUGUCUGACUUAAAAGGAGGAGAUAUUAUCAAUGGUAUUUGACGACACUUUUACAGGAUACAAGUCACAAUGUUUUCCUUUAUUUCAAAGCUGAAAGAGAGAGUCGAUACUUUUCUGAACGAGAAGAACUUUGUAACAGAUUUCCUCAACAAAGUCGAAGAAAAGAUUGGAAUUAAGAAGCGUUUCCUUGUAGUAGGAGCUGCCUCUGCAACAGGACUGUACUUAGUGUUUGGAUAUGGAGCCUCCCUGAUCUGCAACUUGAUCGGCUUUGUUUAUCCUGCAUAUUAUUCCAUCAAGGCUAUUGAGAGUCCAAACAAAGAUGACGACACACAGUGGCUAACUUAUUGGGUGGUGUAUGGAUUCUUUGGUGUGGGGGAAUUCUUAUUAGACAUCUUCCUGUCCUGGUUUCCUUUCUACUAUGUGUGCAAAUGCCUGUUCUUGCUAUGGUGCAUGGCUCCAGUACCCUGGAAUGGCUCUCAGGUGUUAUAUAAGCGUUUGGUGCAACCACUUUUCCUCAAACACGAGGCCUCUAUAGACAAAAUGGUUUGCAAUCUGAGUGUGAAGGCCAUAACAGCUGUAGAAACUGUUACAAGAGAGGGUAUGAUGAUGAUUUUUGCUCUGUUCAUCAUAGAAUGGCAUAAUAUUGAAUCUUAGCAAAUUGUUUAUGUUCACUUGCCUACACUAAAAGUUUGAGAUGAGUGUUCUCUCAAAAUAACCUUGUUUUUUCAUUUCCCCAUUCUUUUAUACGAUAUGCGACGCUUGUCUCAGUUCUUCAGACUCUGGUGAGAAACAGGACUAUUCACCCAGCUGAGCCAGCUGCUAGAGAGCUUCCCGGUCCAUCAAAUGAACCCAAGGUUGACUGAACUUCACCGAAAGUUCCACUUCCACAGUCACAGGACACCGAGGAAUAAAAUCUCCUGGACGUCAGCAGACAAUGCUAUAAUGAGCAUAUGCAGUUUACUUGAAGCAUGUUAUUCAGCUCUGGAAAACAUUAAGAGACCACUUCGAUUUCUUUUUAAAUCAGCAUGCCUAUGUAUGGCAGCCAUUUCAUUCCAGUGUCUGUGCUGGAAUUCCAACACAAGCACACCUCACUUUCCUUAAUGAGGUACUGAUGAGGUGAUCACCUGAACCAAAUCUUAUUUAACGAAGAAAAGUAUAAAAACCACUGCUGUGGACAUCACUAUCCUCUUGCAAUAGGACCAGUUUGGAUGGCAAAAACAGUGCUAGCAGUACCUUAAAUUUAACUGGAAUACAAAAAUAUAUAUUAAUCAUGCCAAAGGAGUUAAAAAGAAAAGUUUUGAGUGAGAAAAAUAAGGGUUCAAUUCUGGAUUUACUGACGGAAGGAUACAGUAAGUGUCCGCUAGCUUCCAUCCUCAAGUUUCAAAAAUUAUCAGUUCAUAAGAACAAGGUCAAGCAGCAGACACUGGAGAGAACAAAGUUGCAGACUGACAGAGGGUGAAAACAACUCUCUACUGACUGGGAUGAUCAUCAACUCCUUCGAAUGUUACUCAAAAAACGUACAAUGACAUCAAGUGGCCUACAAAAAGAAUGGCAAAUGGCAGCUGGGGUUAAGUGCAUGGCAAGGAAGUUUCGAAAUGAACUCCUCUGGGCGGGGUUGAAGUCACGCAAAGCUAGAAAAAAGCCCAUAAGGAGUGAACCAUAGAGGACUGGAGUAAGGUCAUCUUCUCUGAUGAGUCCAAUUUUUAGCUUUUCCCAUCACCUGGUCGUCUAAUGGUUAGACAGAGACCUGGAGAGGCUGACAAGCCACAGUGUCUCACAAUCAUUGUGAAAUUUGGUGGCGGAUCAGUGAGGAUCUGAGGGUGCUUCAGCAAGGUUGGAAUGGGGCAGAUUUUGUUUGUGAGGGAAGGACACAUGAAUCAAGCCAUGUACAAGGUUAUCCUGGAAGAGAACUUGCUUCCUUCUGCUCUGAUAAUGUUCCCUAACUCUGAGGAUUGGGUUUACCAGCAAGACACUGCUCCAUGCCACACAGCCAGGUCAAUCAAGGACCACAAGAUCAAGACCCUAUCAUGGCCAGCCCAAUCUCGAGACCCAGACCCCAUUGGUCAUAAGCCAUCAAACAAAGCUGAGCUGAUUGAAUUUUUGCGCCAGGAGUGGCAUAAAGUCACCCAAGAACAACGUGAAAGGCUGGUGGAGAGCAUGCCAAGACGCAUGAAAGCUGUGAUUAAAUGUCAGGGUUAUUCCACCAAAUACUGAUUUCUGAACUCAUACUAAGUUCAAACUUGAGUAUUGUGUUGUUUAAAAUUGAAUAUAAUCUUGAUUUUUGUGCAUUGUUCAAGGUCAGGAAACACUUCAUCUUUUUUGUUAUUUUGACCACUUGUCAUUUUCUG